UACGUAGGGGGCUAGCGUUGUCCGGAAUCAUUGGGCGUAAAGAGCGUGUAGGCGGCUUGGUAAGUCCGCUGUGAAAGUCCAGGGCUCAACCCUGGAAUGCCAGUGGAUACUGUCAAGCUAGAGUCCGGAAGAGGCGAGUGGAAUUCCUGGUGUAGCGGUGAAAUGCGCAGAUAUCAGGAGGAACACCAAUGGCGAAGGCAGCUCGCUGGGACGGUACUGACGCGUGAGAACGCGGAAAGCGUGGG
rnacentral:rRNA from 1 species